CACAGCCACGUAGCAAAAUAUGAUUUGCGAAGGAGAAUUGCUCAAAUCUAGAGUUUCCAUGUAGGCGCCAAAACGCCUGCUUGACCUUUAGACGAUCACUACCUGUAGGGUGGCGCGUAGACAUGGAGACGAUUUUUCAAAAAUUGACUG
ensembl:ncRNA H01G02.12 ncRNA